GGAGGAGGAGGAGGGAGAACCCCGUGCAACGUUGGGACUUGGCAGCUCGCCUCCCCCUGCCCAAGGAUAUUUAAUUUGCCUCGGGAAUCGUUACUUCCAGAGGGGAACUCAAGAGGGAAGGCGCGCGCGUCUGGAGGGGCAACGCCAGGACCCCCGGCCGCCGCCUGCCUGAGCCGGACUCUGGCCCCGGCGGCGAGAGAUGCUUCUUCCCGGCCGCGGCGGCUGAGAGGAGACUUGGCUCUCGGGGUAUCCGGGCUGCACUCGCGCCGGACGCGCAACCUCCCCGCAGGGCAUGAAACGCCAGUAAACUCCGGUCGGGGCUAUCGCCUUGGCGCAGCUGCUGCGUCCUCCUCUACUGCCCCUCCCCGGCGCGGAGGGCGGCGUGGAUUUCGGAGUCACGGUUUCUGCCGCCUCCAGCCCUGUUUGCAUGUGCGGGGCCGCGGCGAGGAGCCUCCGCCCCCCGCCCGGUUGUUUUUCGGCGCCUCCCUCCGCGCGGUGGCGGCGGCGGCGGCGGCGGCGGCGGCAGCAUGGCGAGCCCUCCCGAGACCGACGGCUUCUCCGACGUGCGCAAGGUGGGCUAUCUGCGCAAGCCCAAGAGCAUGCACAAGCGAUUCUUCGUGCUGCGGGCGGCCAGCGAGGCUGGGGGCCCGGCGCGCCUCGAGUACUACGAGAACGAGAAGAAGUGGCGGCACAAGUCGAGCGCCCCCAAACGCUCGAUCCCCCUCGAGAGCUGCUUCAACAUCAACAAGCGGGCCGACUCCAAGAACAAGCACCUGGUGGCCCUCUAUACCCGGGACGAGCACUUUGCCAUCGCGGCGGACAGCGAGGCCGAGCAGGACAGCUGGUACCAGGCCCUCCUGCAGCUGCACAACCGUGCCAAGGGCCACCACGACGGGGCCGCGGCUCCCGGGGCGGGAGGCGGCGGGGGCAGCUGCAGUGGCAGCUCCGGCCUUGGCGAGGCUGGGGAGGACUUGAGCUACGGGGACGUGCCCCCAGGACCCGCCUUCAAGGAAGUCUGGCAGGUGAUCCUGAAACCCAAGGGCCUGGGUCAGACAAAGAACCUGAUUGGCAUCUACCGCCUCUGUCUGACCAGCAAGACCAUCAGCUUCGUGAAGCUGAACUCGGAGGCUGCCGCGGUGGUGCUGCAGCUGAUGAACAUCAGGCGCUGUGGCCACUCAGAGAACUUCUUCUUCAUCGAAGUGGGCCGUUCCGCAGUGACGGGACCCGGGGAGUUCUGGAUGCAGGUGGAUGACUCUGUGGUGGCCCAGAACAUGCACGAGACGAUCCUGGAAGCCAUGCGGGCCAUGAGCGAUGAGUUCCGCCCUCGAAGCAAGAGCCAGUCCUCCUCCAACUGCUCCAACCCCAUCAGUGUCCCCCUGCGCAGGCAUCACCUCAACAACCCUCCACCCAGCCAGGUGGGGCUGACCCGCCGCUCGCGCACAGAGAGCAUCACUGCCACCUCCCCGGCCAGCUUGGUGGGCGGGAAGCAGGGCUCCUUCCGGGUCCGCGCCUCUAGUGAUGGCGAAGGCACCAUGUCUCGCCCUGCCUCUGUGGACGGCAGUCCUGUGAGUCCCAGCACCAACAGGACCCAUGCCCACCGGCAUCGCGGCAGUUCCCGGCUGCAUCCGCCUCUCAACCACAGCCGCUCCAUCCCCAUGCCUUCUUCUCGCUGCUCGCCUUCCGCCACCAGCCCGGUCAGCCUAUCGUCCAGUAGCACCAGUGGCCACGGCUCCACCUCGGACUGUCUCUUCCCACGGCGGUCUAGUGCUUCCGUGUCCGGUUCCCCCAGUGAUGGCGGUUUCAUCUCCUCUGAUGAGUAUGGCUCCAGUCCCUGCGACUUCCGAAGUUCCUUCCGCAGUGUCACCCCGGAUUCCCUGGGCCACACCCCGCCCGCCCGCGGUGAGGAGGAGCUGAGCAACUACAUCUGCAUGGGAGGCAAGGGGGCCUCCACCCUCACGGCCCCCAAUGGUCACUACAUUUUGCCUCGGAGUGGCAACGGUCCCCGCUACAUCCCGGCAGCCGGCUUGGGCACGAGCCCAGCCCUGACAGGGGAUGAAGCAGCCAGUGCUGCAGAUCUGGACAAUCGGUUCCGAAAGCGGACUCACUCUGCUGGCACGUCACCUACCAUUUCCCACCAGAAGACCCCAUCCCAGUCCUCUGUGGCCUCCAUUGAGGAAUAUACCGAGAUGAUGCCUGCCUACCCACCAGGAGGUGGCAGUGGAGGCCGAGUGCCCAGCUACCGGCACUCCGCCUUCGUGCCCACCCACUCCUACCCAGAGGAGGGUCUGGAAAUGCACCCCUUGGAGCGGCGUGUGGGCCACCACCGCCCAGACACCUCCAACCUCCACACCGAUGAUGGCUACAUGCCCAUGUCCCCAGGGGUGGCCCCAGUGCCCGGGAGCCGAAAGGGCAGUGGGGACUACAUGCCCAUGAGCCCCAAGAGCGUGUCUGCCCCUCAGCAGAUCAUCAACCCCAUCAGACGCCAUCCCCAGAGAGUGGACCCCAAUGGCUACAUGAUGAUGUCCCCAAGCGGCAGCUGCUCUCCUGACAUUGGAGGCGGGCCCAGCAGCGUCGGCAGCAGCGGUGCCGCCCCUUCUGGGAGCAGCUAUGGCAAGCUCUGGACGAAUGGGGUAGGGGGCCACCACUCUCACGCCCUGCCACACCCCAAACUCCCUGUGGAGAGCAGUAGCGGCAAGCUGUUGUCUUGUACGGGUGACUACAUGAACAUGUCGCCAGUGGGGGACUCCAACACCAGCAGCCCUUCCGACUGCUACUAUGGCCCUGAGGACCCCCAGCACAAGACAGUCCUCUCCUACUACUCAUUGCCAAGGUCCUUUAAGCACACGCAGCGCCCCGGGGAGCUGGAGGAGGGCGCCCGGCACCAGCACCUCCGCCUUUCCUCCAGCUCGGGUCGACUUCUCUAUGCUGCGGCGGCGGAAGAUUCCUCCUCGUCCACCAGCAGCGACAGCCUGGGCGGGGGAUACUGCGCGGCUAGGCCCGAGCCCGGCCUCCCGCAUCUCCACCAUCAGGUCCUGCAGCCCCAUCUGCCUCGAAAGGUGGACACAGCUGCCCAGACCAACAGCCGCCUGGCCCGGCCCACGAGGCUGUCCCUGGGGGAUCCCAAGGCCAGCACCUUACCCCGGGCCCGAGAGCAGCCGCAGCCCCAGCCACAGCCACCGCCGCCCCUGCUGCCCCCUCCGGAGCCCAAGAGCCCAGGGGAAUAUGUGAAUAUUGAAUUUGGGAGCGAUCAGCCGGGCUACUUAACAGGCCCGGGGGCUUCCCACAGCUCGCCUUCUGUCCGGUGUCCAUCCCAGCUCCAGCCGGCUCCCAGAGAGGAGGAGACGGGCGCGGAAGAGUACAUGAACAUGGACCUGGGGCCGGGCCGGAGGGCCGCCUGGCGGGAGAGCGCUGGGGUCCAGCCGGGCAGCAUGGGCCCGGCACCCCCUGGAGCUGCUAGCGUGUGCAGGCCCACCAGGGCAGUGCCCAGCAGCCGGGGUGACUACAUGACCAUGCAGAUGGGCUGUCCCCGGCAGAGCUACGUGGACACCUCGCCAGUCGCCCCCAUCAGCUAUGCGGACAUGCGGACCGGCGGCGGCGGCCUCGUGGAGGAGGCCAGCCUGCCUGGGGCCGCCGCGGCCACGCCCUCCUCAUCCUCGAAGGCCUCUGCUUCCCCCGCCGCGCCUCAAGGAGCAGAGGAGCUGGCGGCCCGCUCUUCCCUGCUGGGAGGCCCGCAGGGACCCGGGGGCUCGAGUGCCUUCACGCGGGUGAACCUCAGUCCCAACCGCAACCAGAGUGCCAAAGUGAUCCGUGCCGACCCGCAAGGGUGCAGGAGGCGGCACAGCUCCGAGACCUUCUCCUCGACGCCCAGUGCCACCCGGGCAGGCAACACGGUGCCCUUCGGAGGGGGGGCUGCAGCCGGGGGCGGCGGCGGUGGCAGCAGCAGCACGGAGGGCGUGAAACGCCACAGCUCUGCUUCCUCUGAGAACGUGUGGCUGCGGCCUGGGGAACUCGGGGGAGCCCCCAAGGAGCUGGCCCAAGUGUGCGGGGCCGCCGGGGGUUUGGAGAAUGGGCUUAACUACAUAGACCUGGAUUUGGCCAAGGACUUCAACCAGAGCCCUCAAGAGCGCCCCGCUCAGCCGCAGCCUUCUCCUCCCCCGCCCCCUCAUCAGCCUCUGGGACGGAGCGAGAGCGGCUCCACCAGCCGCUCCAGCGAGGAUUUAAGCGCCUAUGCCAGCAUCAGUUUCCAGAAGCCGCCAGAGGACCUCCAGUAGCUCAACUGGACAUCACAGCAGUGAUUGUUUCCCAGGUCUCAGGGGAUCAAGUUAAUCCACUUCAUAUAAACUCGGGCCCAGAGAAGUUGAGUAACUUGCUCAGGAUGACACAGCUGUUUUGUGGUAGCAUCACCAAGAACUCCAAUGUAUCAUCUCCAGCUUGAUGCUUUUCCCCGUGCUAUACUCCAUACUGAUAAUGAAGACCUAAAUGACCUCAGCAAAUCCUCCUUUAACUCAUGGGUACCCAGACUCUAAAUAUUUCAUGAUUCACAACCAGGACCUCACAUCUUCCUCCUCAGUAGAUGGUACGAUGCACCCAUUUCAGUUUGUUUACUUUACACAAUCCUCAGGAGUUUGUUGACUGAACUGCACGUUCUAUAUCGUGCCAAGAAAAAAGCACUGUGACACCAGAACAAUGAGUCUGCAUAAACUUCAUCUUCGACCUUAAGGACUGAGCUGGCCACACGUGCCCCCCACCGUGCCACAAGAGAAUGGGUUUACGCUCAUUGCAUUUACAAGACACAUUUCAUCUGCUGCUGAAACCGUGUACGACAGAGCAUCAUUGUAAAUUAUUUCAUACGGAACUGUUUGCUUUGGGUGGAGAGAGUAUUAAAUAUUUAACAUAGGUUUUUGAUUUAUAAGUGUAAUUUUUUUAAUUAAAAUGUAACUUUUCUUACAGCACAUCUUUUUUUGGGAUGUGGAACUGAGGUAUACAAUGUUCUGUUGUAAAGAGUGGAGCAAAUGCUUAAAACAAGGCUAACAAGAGUAGAAUAGGGUACGAUCCUUGUUUUAAGAUUGUAAUUCAGAAAAGUAAUAUAAUAAGAAUCAUAGUGCCAUAGAUGGUUCUCAAUUGUAUAGUUCUAUUUGCUGAUACUAUCUCUUGUAAUAUAGCCCUGAUGUUAAGCUGAGAUCCUUUCAAGAGCUGAUCUUAAUUUCGUAUUUUUUUUUUCUGUAAGGCAAUAGGCCAUGUUAAUUAAACUGAAGAAGGAUAUAUUCUACUGGGUAUUUUCAAGUGUCAGCUUAAAAUUGGCAAUUGAAUGGAAGCAAAAUUACAAGAAAAGGCAUUCAGUGUCUUCCAUUGUAUAUACUGUAAAGAGGAGGCGACAUGGGUGAUCCCUUCGAAUCAAAAGCUCUCUUUGGAAUGAACAAUGUGGGUGUUUGUAAAUUCUGGAAAUUUCUUUCUAUUCAUAAUAAACUAGAGACUGUUGAUCUUUUCUUCUCCCCUCCCCCACUUCUGUAAGCUUCCUGUUCCAUUGCCACCAUUUUUUUUUUCUGUUGCACACGUUAGGAUCUUUCAUUUCCUGCACUGUCUCUAGAAAGAUGUAAGACAAGUGAAUACUUUUCUUUCAUUUCUAACCAGAAAUUAAAAUUCCAGAACGUGUUUUUUUAUCAUGACCAGGGCUACAUGUCACUUUCCUUAAGACUCUUAUCUCAUGUUUUCUGAGAAUGUCCAGUGUUACAUUAUUUAACUGAAUGUAAUUUGGUCCAUUUGCCCUGGUGGCUACUGGCCUAUGCGUGAUUAGUUAAUAAAACCCAGGGCACAGAGAGCACAUCAAAGCAUAAUGACCUGCUAUGGAAACAUCUAGCCAGCAGUGAAAAUGUUAAUCCUUUUCUUGUUUGGAAAGUACACACAUCUUGGAAUUUUUCCUUGUGAAAAAGAAAUGGCAAUGGACGUACUUCAAGAAAUUGCCUACAGAGUUUUGAAUCUUUGACCAGGAAACUUCCUAAAGGUUCAGUGAAUUAAGGCUAGUAUCAGACUCCCCCGGAGUCCAUGGAAACUCUCCAUCAGGAGGUCCCGGCCCUGCUAUUGAGAGGAGCAACAUUUUCUUUCACUGAAGGGUUGAUCUCCCUGGGUGGGAGAGGGGCUGCCAGGAAGGGGCCAGGGUUGGGGGCCAUUGCAGUGGCUACUCAUCAAUGGGUCAGGUACCCCCUGCUCUACUCAAAAGGGAGUGGAGAUCAAUGGAACCCCUCACCCUGCUGAGGCCUGUGUUACUGUUAACUCAGACGGAUGGCAUGUACCUCACAGACUCUUGUACAAUGUUCAUUGUUGCAGAUUCUAAUCGUUUGCAUGCGCAUCAAUUUCUAAGAUAAAUAGGUCUGUAGUCAUAAGAAUCCAUUGUUCUCAAGGAACUUACCGAAUGACAUCACUUCCUAUUAGGAGAGAACACUACCGAUUUUAAAAAUUUGAUAUGAAAGUUUUUUGUUGUUUUUUUUACUCUUUAUAAAAAAGACUUUCUUAGUCUAACUUUCAUUUUUCAAGUAUUUUGACUCAUACUCUUGCUUGUGUAGGAAGGAGACAAGCUGUCCACUCUCUUCCGUUGAAGACAUAAGUAAUUAAGGAGAAAUCAAUGAACAAAGUCAGCCCCAUCCAUUUUCCUGUAAAGGUAGUUAUUAUUUCUCAAGGAACCUAAACUUUGCAUAUGUAUUACCAAGAUGCCUCUGCAUGUGGGGUUAUCACAUAUUCUGGGUGAGAACAAGAAAUGAACCAGACUGGAAAAAGCCAUCUCUUGGUUUCUGUUUCACUGACGUUUUGUUGAGUCAAACAGUAUCAAGGUAGGCGUUCUUAUUUAAGCUGCUUCUAGUGGUCCCUGAGCUGGGUUUUCCGGUGGUAUCAAACUUCGCCCAUUUAAAAAACUCAAAGUUGCUGGUAUUUGAGGCAAAAACUCUUGCUCUGUCUACAUGCGGGCUUGACCUUUAGCUGCUAAGUCCUUGUGUUCAGCUCCUAUUCAGGAGACUUGGCUUUUAUCCAUUUCAAAGUAUUUGUAGGCCAGCCAAAGGCUUACAUGAAUGGGACUUCUAGUGGCCUCUGGUUAACCUGUAAGUUAGUGGCUUUUCUUCAUGAGACCAACCUUUUACAGUGUUCUUUCUUAGAGACUUAGGCAGAGUUUUAAAAUUCUCCUUUGUGGAAAGAACAAAUAUGUUCCAUGACUUUGAUGAUAUCUUGAUUCUGAGCAAAAGAAAAUAAAAGUCCUAGAACCAGCUAAGAGUGAAGAGAAUCCAUUAAUGAUCAACCACCUGAGUCAAUAAUGACAAUUCAGUGCUGAUGUUACAUCUGUGGCUGUUUCUCGCUAACUUUCAAAGGUCAGGGACUCUCUUGACUAAUCUACGUUGACUGCAAAAAUGGAUUUUCUAAAAAAUCAUCUAGCCAGAAGUAGAGAUUUUUAACUUUUCUUGCGCUGACGCUUGCCUCCUAGCUGUCUUUUAAAUCUGAGACAUUUAAAGUAUUAAACACUUUACUAAACUAUAAGAAACAGUAGUUGACAAUACUGAGGCCCUGUUUUGUUCAAUCUUGCAUCCUGAAUGCAAUACGCCGUGUAGUUGAAAACUUUCAUUUUUACUCACUGCAGAUGGUUUCAAAAUGGGGGAGGAGAGCUCAUCAUCCACUGAUAACAGAACCACGAAAAAUGAGAUUCAUGUGCAACGUUCCAACUGCUUUGUCAGGGCUCUGUAGGUCAGUCCGUCACACAAGGAGGCAUGGAAACCAGAAACACUGCAGUAAUUAAGACCUUGACUGGGGAGAGACAGGACCCUCUGGAAGGCAUGGGAAGGAGAAUGGAUAGAGACCAGAUAGAAAUCUGCUCCUUUGCAAGGACUUGACAGGGGAGUAAGUGUUCCUAGGACCUCAUGUAUGUUAGUUGCAGUAUGAAUGCUGCAUUUAUAUAGGCUGCUGAGAAAUUGGAAAGGAAGAAGCAUACACUUCUAGGGAUGUGAGGAAAUAGGACCUUGCCAGAUGUAAGAGAACGACCUCCACUCUGUGAGCUUAGUCAUGGAGGGCAAAUAGAGCCUUGUGGUCAGUAGACCAUCAAGGGGUAAACACUUGGUGCCGUUGGUCAUUUCCAAAGCCAAGUCAGAGAAGAUCAUAGGGGUCCUUCUAUAGCUCUGUAAAUCAGUCUCCUAAAGAUGGAUAGAGAAGUUGUGGGUCAGAUGGCAUACUGGAUUCCUUCCCUACUUGUAACCGGAGCAUCAAAUUAGGUGCUGGGAAGUGGUGGAAUGAUGUUGGAGGUGUUUAACCUACUUUUAAUGAAAUUUAUCAGUAAUCAAGAGCUUAGAAUUAGCUAAUACGAUUAGAAAAACAUAGGGCAUAGCUGGAGAGUGGUCUUCCUUUCCUAGUUCAUUGAUGCUGGCAUCUGUGAUGUAUACACCAAGAGAUCUGGUAUUAUAGACUUUGGCUAUUCACCUGGCGUUUAAAUCUCUCCCGUUGUUUUUGUUGUUAAUUUCCCCAGUGUUAGCCAAUAUGCCACACGAUAGGACAAAUUCAGUACACAGGAAAAACUUGUCUGUAUUUGUAUAGACAUCUUUAGUGCUUUUUUUUUUUCUUUUUAGAACUUUGCUAUUGGCUUAAGAAUGUAGUUCCCGGAACCAUUUUUCUUACAAGGUUCUUUCCUUACACGUCUUGGCUACAGGGUGGGCCAAAUUAAAUACAUAUAUAUUUUUUCGUUUAAUGUAUGUGCAGUUUGGUUUAUCAUCUUAAGAUGGUGGUGCUGCUUACGGUGCUACUUCAUCUGUGUUCAGAAGGACCAAUGCAUGGUCUGUAUCGCUACCAAAACAUUUAUUGUAUAUAUGUGUAUAACAUAUGUAUUAUGUAUAUAUGUAAUGGAUACCAGGCCAGGUAUAUAUUUUUAUUUAGAUUCACUUUUUCCAAGUUUUCUUUAUAGUGUUAUGCUUAUUUUCAGUUCCCCCCCCCUCCCCGAUUCUGUCUGGUACUUAGAACUGUAGUGUCUUCAUCGUUAAUUAAAGAAAACUGUCUAAAUGAA